rnacentral:rRNA from 1 species
UCGAGAAUUUUUGACAAUGGGGGAAACCCUGAUCGAGCGACGCCGCGUGGAGGAUGAAGGCCUUCGGGUUGUAAACUCCUGUCAUGCGGGAACAAGAAAGUGAUAGUACCGCAAGAGGAAGAGACGGCUAACUCUGUGCCAGCAGCCGCGGUAAUACAGAGGUCUCAAGCGUUGUUCGGAUUCAUUGGGCGUAAAGGGUGCGUAGGUGGCGAUGUAAGUUUGGUGUGAAAUUUCGGGGCUCAACCUCGAAACUGCAUUGAAUACUGCAUUGCUUGAGGAUUGUAGAGGAGAGUGGAAUUCAUGGUGUAGCAGUGAAAUGCGUAGAUAUCAUGAGGAAGACCAGUUGCGAAGGCGACUCUCUGGGCAAAUCCUGACACUGAGGCACGAAGGCCAGGGGAGCAAACGG